GUGCUUGCUUCAGCAGCACCUAUACUAAAAUUGGAAUGAAACAGAGAAGAUUAGCUUGGCUCCUGUGUAAGGGUGACAUUCAAAGAGCUCACACAUGUGCCCCGUAAAA
rfam:Canis lupus familiaris chromosome 19, whole genome shotgun sequence.